rnacentral:lncRNA from 1 species
AUUUCCUUGAACCACCAUAAACCUUAGCCAUUAAUUAAAAAAAAAAAAAAAAGAACAUAUAACUAAAAUUACAAUCAAAAGUUCCAAAAUUUUCAUAAAUAUAAAAGAACUAACGAAAAUAACAAAAAGAAGAAUAAAAAAUACUCAAACUUUUUCGAGGAGGUACUAGAAGCUUUAUCGACACGGCCUCAUCUCUGCCAUGCUUAUUACUUGCAAAUCAACAACAGAAUCACCUCUCAAAGUACAACAAUAUAAAACCCAACGCACAACAAAUUAGAACGGGCUGCUGUGGGUAUGUCUUGGAUGCUCCCCAUCCAUGUAAAAGAAAUAAGAGAAUGAAUCAUGGGGUAAUUUUGAGUUUGCGUUUGAAAAUGGAUGAGGUUAUGGAAGUUUUGAGUUUGCAUUUGAAAAUGGAUGAGGUGAUGGUUAUGUGUGGAAGGAAAAAAGCGUAUGAAAACAGACAGGGGGCGGGGGGGGG